rnacentral:lncRNA from 1 species
AGAAAAUCACAGAAAAUCAUAUACAUUCACAAAAAAAUAUAUAAAAUAUUAAAAAAUUAUAAAUUUUUUUAUAAAAAAAUAUUAUAAUUUUAAAUAAAAAUAUUUUUAUUAUAUAAAAUUUUUAUAUAAAAUAUUAAUUUAUAAAUAUUAAAUAUGUAUCAAAAAAAAUAAUGACUAUACGAUUCAAUUAAAAAAAAUGGUGCACCC